CCGCAACGCACCGCCCGGCCCCGCCGCGGGGAGAGAGGGGAGCGGAGCGGAGCGGCACGGGGUGGGCAUCCCCACAGCCGGCCCCACAGCAUCGCCCUACG
rnacentral:miRNA from 12 species